rnacentral:rRNA from 1 species
AAUAGAUACCCCGGUAGUCCACGCCCUAAACGAUGAUAACUCGAUGUUUGCGAUACACAGUAAGCGUCUUAGCGAAAGCGUUAAGUUAUCCACCUGGGGAGUACGGUCGCAAGAUUGAAACUCAAAGGAAUUGACGGGGGCCCGCACAAGCGGAGGAGCAUGUGGUUUAAUUCGAUGAUACGCGAGGAACCUUACCCGGGCUUGAAAGUUAGUGAAUGAGACAGAGACGUCUCAGUCCUUCGGGACACGAAACUAGGUGCUGCAUGGCUGUCGUCAGCUCGUGCCGUGAGGUGUUGGGUUAAGUCCCGCAACGAGCGCAACCCUAUGUUUAGUUGCCAGCAUGUAAUGAUGGGGACUCUAAACAGACUGCCUGUGCAAACAGAGAGGAAGGUGGGGACGACGUCAAGUCAUCAUGGCCCUUACGUCCGGGGCUACACACGUGCUACAAUGGAUGGUACAGCGGGCAGCUACAUAGCAAUAUGAUGCUAAUCUCUAAAAGCCAUUCACAGUUCGGAUU